UACGUAGGUGGCAAGCGUUAUCCGGAUUUACUGGGUGUAAAGGGCGUGUAGGCGGGACUGCAAGUCAGAUGUGAAAAUUAUGGGCUCAACCCAUAACCUGCAUUUGAAACUGUAGUUCUUGAGUGAUGGAGAGGCAGGCGGAAUUCCGUGUGUAGCGGUGAAAUGCGUAGAUAUACGGAGGAACACCAGUGGCGAAGGCGGCCUGCUGGACAUUAACUGACGCUGAGGCGCGAAAGCGUGGGGAGCAAACAGG
rnacentral:rRNA from 1 species